rnacentral:rRNA from 1 species
GAUGAACGCUGGCGGCGUGCCUAAUACAUGCAAGUCGAGCGAACAGAUGAGUAGCUUGCUCCUCUGACGUUAGCGGCGGACGGGUGAGUAACACGUGGAUAACCUACCUAUAAGACUGGGAUAACUUCGGGAAACCGGAGCUAAUACCGGAUAAUAUAUUGAACCGCAUGGUUCAAUAGUGAAAGACGGGUUUGCUGUCACUUAUAGAUGGAUCCGCGCCGCAUUAGCUAGUUGGUAAGGUAACGGCUUACCAAGGCAACGAUGCGUAGCCGACCUGAGAGGGUCGUCGGCCAGCCUGGAACUGAGACACGGUCCAGACUCCUACGGGAGGCAGCAGUCGGGAAUCUUCCGCAAUGGGCGAAAGCCUGACGGAGCACCGCCGCGUGAGUGCUGAAGGUCUUCGGAUCGUAAAACUCUGUUAUUAGGGAAGAACAAAUGUGUAAGUAACUAUGCACGUCUUGACGGUACCUAAUCAGAAAGCCCCGGCUAACUACGUG